AGCGAACGCUGGCGGCAGGCCUAACACAUGCAAGUCGAACGGAUCCUUCGGGAUUAGCGGCGGACGGGUGAGUAACACGUGGGAACGUGCCCUUUGGUUCGGAACAACUCAGGGAAACUUGAGCUAAUACCGGAUGUGCCCUUCGGGGGAAAGAUUUAUCGCCAUUGGAGCGGCCCGCGUCUGAUUAGCUAGUUGGUGAGGUAACAGCCCACCAAGGCGACGAUCAGUAGCUGGUCUGAGAGGAUGAUCAGCCACACUGGGACUGAGACACGGCCCAGACUCCUACGGGAGGCAGCAGUGGGGAAUCUUGCGCAAUGGGCGAAAGCCUGACGCAGCCAUGCCGCGUGAAUGAUGAAGGUCUUAGGAUUGUAAAAUUCUUUCAGCGGGGACGAUAAUGACGGUACCCGCAGAAGAAGCUCCGGCUAACUUCGUG
rnacentral:rRNA from 1 species